rnacentral:sRNA from 1 species
AAAGCUUUAAAUUUUAAUGCAGAUAUAGAGUAUUAGUGCUGCUGUGGAUUGUAUAAUUCAGGCCAGUAGCACUUGAAAAACUUAAAACAGGUGAAGGUGAAUACACAUUAAACUCAAAUAUAGAACUUAGAUCUCUUAUCCAUCUAAGAGUAAGCUCUAGAACUAGAGUACAGACAAGAGAUUUUGGUGUGUGACACCCUGGCUUUAGAAGUAAUUGAAACACAACAUUAAUGAAUGGAUAGGCCUGUCAAUGAAAGAGACUAAUCCUGGCAAAAGAUAGAAGAGAGGAGCGAGAUGGCCAACAGAUCAUUUGAGAAAACAUAUAUAAAUAUGACAUAAUGUGGCAUACAGACAAGUUUACUAGAUGGAUCUUUCAUCAUUUUGGAAGAACAAGAAGAGUUCGCAUUCUAUUGUGAAACAAAUCACAGAAACAUUCUACAAUUUUAUUUAAUAUAAUAAAUACAAAUAAAUGUAAAUACAAAAUCA